rnacentral:rRNA from 1 species
UUGUUGGUGGGGUAAUGGCCUACCAAGGCGACGAUCAGUAGCGGGUCUGAGAGGAUGAUCCGCCACACUGGAACUGAGACACGGUCCAGACUCCUACGGGAGGCAGCAGUGGGGAAUUUUGGACAAUGGGGGCAACCCUGAUCCAGCCAUUCCGCGUGAGUGAAGAAGGCCUUCGGGUUGUAAAGCUCUUUCAGCUGGAACGAAACGGUACGCCUUAAUACGGUGUGCUAAUGACGGUACCAGCAGAAGAAGCACCGGCUAACUACGUGCCAGCAGCCGCGGUAAUACGUAGGGUGCGAGCGUUAAUCGGAAUUACUGGGCGUAAAGCGUGCGCAGGCGGAUUGUUAAGCAAGAUGUGAAAUCCCCGGGCUUAACCUGGGAAUGGCAUUUUGAACUGGCAGUCUAGAGUGUGUCAGAGGGGGGUGGAAUUCCACGUGUAGCAGUGAAAUGCGUAGAUAUGUGGAGGAACACCAAUGGCGAAGGCAGCCCCCUGGGAUAACACUGACGCUCAUGUACGAAAGCGUGGGUAGCAAACAGGAUUAGAUACCCUGGUAGUCCACGCCCUAAACGAUGUCAACUGGUUGUUGGGGGAGUGAAAUCCCUUAGUAACGAAGCUAACGCGUGAAGUUGACCGCCUGGGGAGUACGGUCGCAAGAUUAAAACUCAAAGGAAUUGACGGGGACCCGCACAAGCGGUGGAUGAUGUGGAUUAAUUCGAUGCAACGCGAAAAACCUUACCUACCCUUGACAUGUCCAGAAUCCUGCAGAGAUGCGGGAGUGCCCGAAAGGGAAUYGGAACACAGGUGCUGCAUGGCUGUCGUCAGCUCGUGUCGUGAGAUGUUGGGUUAAGUCCCGCAACGAGCGCAACCCUUAUCAUUAGUUGCUACGCAAGGGCACUCUAAUGAGACUGCCGG